rnacentral:rRNA from 1 species
GACGAACCGUGCGAACGUUGUUCGGAAUCACUGGGCUUAAAGGGCGCGUAGGCGGGUGGCAUAGUCCGAGGUGAAAUCUUUCGGCUUAACCGGAAAAGUGCCUCGGAUACUAGCUGUCUUGAGGGAGGUAGGGGUAGAUGGAACUUCCAGUGGAGCGGUGAAAUGUGUUGAUAUUGGAAGGAAUGCCGGUGGCGAAAGCGAUCUACUGGACCUCUUCUGACGCUGAGGCGCGAAAGCCAGGGUAGCGAGCGGG